rnacentral:rRNA from 1 species
UGCCAGCCGCCGCGGUAAUACGGAGGGUGCAAGCGUUGUUCGGAAUUACUGGGCGUAAAGCGCGCGUAGGCGGCUUUUUAAGUCAGAUGUGAAAGUCCACGGCUCAACCGUGGAAGUGCAUUUGAAACUGGGAGGCUUGAGUAUUGGAGGGGGUGGUGGAAUUCCCGGUGUAGAGGUGAAAUUCGUAGAUAUCGGGAGGAAUACCGGUGGCGAAGGCGGCUCUCUGGAUUGUAACUGACGCUGAGGCGCGAAAGCGUGGGUAGCAAACAGGAUUAGAUA